ACCGAACCCACUAAAUUUGAAAAAUUAGGGGAUGACUUGUGGAUCGGAGUGAAAGGCUAAUCAAGCCGGGAGAUAGCUGGUUCUCCUCGAAAGCUAUUUAGGUAGCGCCUCGGACGAAUACCACUGGGGGUAGAGCACUGUUUGGGCUAGGGGGUCAUCCCGACUUACCAACCCCAUGCAAACUCCGAAUACCAGUGAGUACUAUCCGGGAGACACACGGCGGGUGCUAACGUCCGUCGUGGAAAGGGAAACAACCCAGACCGUCAGCUAAGGUCCCAAAAUCCAUGUUAAGUGGGAAACGAUGUGGGAAGGCUCAGACAGCUAGGAGGUUGGCUUAGAAGCAGCCACCCUUUAAAGAAAGCGUAAUAGCUCACUAGUCGAGUCGGCCUGCGCGGAAGAUAUAACGGGGCUCAAACAUGGUACCGAAGCUACGGACUUGUGCUUGCACAAGUGGUAGAGGAGCGUUCUGUAAGCCGUUGAAGGUGGAUUGAGAAGUCUGCUGGAGGUAUCAGAAGUGCGAAUGCUGACAUGAGUAACGAUAAUGCGAGUGAAAAACUCGCACGCCGAAAGACCAAGGGUUCCUGUCCAACGUUAAUCGGGGCAGGGUGAGUCGGCCCCUAAGGCGAGGCUGAAAAGCGUAGUCGAUGGGAAACGGGUUAAUAUUCCCGUACUUGGGUGUACUGCGAUGGGGGGACGGAGAAGGCUAGGCCAUCCGGGCGUUGGUUGUCCCGGUUCAAGCAAGUAGGCUGAGAUCUUAGGAAAAUCCGGGAUCUUAAGGCUGAGAUGCGAUGACGGUGAGACUACGGUCUCCGAAGUGGUUGAUGCCCAGCUUCCAGGAAAAGCCUCUAAGCUUCAGGUACACCGAAACCGUACCCGAAACCGACACAGGUGGGCUGGUAGAGUAUACCAAGGCGCUUGAGAGAAGGGUGUUGAAGGAACUCGGCAAAUUGCCUCCGUACCUUCGGAAGAAGGAGGCCCU
rnacentral:rRNA from 1 species